rnacentral:lncRNA from 1 species
UAGCUAUGAUGAUGCCAGGAAAUCCAACCGGUGCAUAUUAUCCUCACAAAGGAAAAGUUUAGACGGAGAUCUCAAUAACUACAACAAACAACAACGAAUACGCCUCAAUCCCAAAUAGAGGGAGAUCCGAAUAUUAACCAAACUAGAGGGAACAAAGUCACACUAGUGUCAAAGAUUAGUACAAAGUACAAACUAUACCAUUUCCCUGUCCCUUACCUUCUUUUUUUUUUUGGCAUAAGGGAAGGUGCUCAGAAUUUCAGGAAAGGGAGAUGAAUAUAUACUGAUCAUGAUUAACUCCAUUGCACCAGACUUAUCUUACAAAGAAAUUAGCAUCUGUAGCCUGUUUUCGGUCUGCAUGAUGCUCAUACUGAAAAUUUACGAUCACAUUAAACACCCCCUGCAGUUAUCACUAUGCCCAUAAGUUUCCAACCACGUCCCUUGCUCCACGAAACAUAACUAUUAUCCGGUCAUCGUACUGUCGACCUCUUUCAUCUGUUCAAUCACCAAUUGGCUAGAUAAUUGGUUCACUCCAUCUGUUCAAUCCCCUGGCAUACCCAAUGAGGUAGUCCACAAGUGCAAGUAUUAUUAAGAAACUGCAAUCUUCAGCAAUUUUACUAAUUUGGUAUGAUCAAUGAUUUUAUCACAUCAGAUUAGCUCCACUUCCAGGAUUGGCGUUUGGUAGUCAUCAUCUCCCAAUAUGAACUGAGUUUAUGCGAGGCUGACACCUUGUUUACAAGGCACGUUAUAAUUGCAGGCCGACCACAGAAUAGCAUAAUCCAUAUUACUCGAAUUUAUUAUGAAUUCUUCAUCCCUGAUGCUCAAAUCUCCCUUCUAAUGCAGCUAUCGACAUUGAACUAAAGAUGCCUGCAAGAGGAAAACGCAUUCAAUCAGUUUCUUCUGUAUAAUAUUUGAAACUUCUGACUUAUUGCAUUAAGACCAAAUGAAAUCUCUGGCUACAAGCUGAAUAUUGCCUCCUUUCCACUGGAAUUCUUCCUGCUGGUGACCCUUCUUGUCAGUUAUUAUCCCUUUUGGGGGAUAGUUUGUUGCUUUCAGGGUCUUGAGCCAAGGGGCUAUCGGAAACAACCUCUCUACUUGCAUAAGGUAGGGGUAAGGCUGCGUCCUAACAACCCUACCCAAACCCCACUUGUGAAAAUACAUUGAGUUUGUUGUUCUUGUUAUCAAUUUAUUGCUUUCAGGGUGUUUUACGCAUAGAAAGCAAUCCCUUGAGCGAUUGGCAUUGGACCAUUCUUUUAAGAUGCGGAGACAUGAAAUCUUAGUUCAAGAGCUAUAUUGUAAGUUUCAUAGGUGCUCUCAACUGUUUGCAACUAUUCACCUAACCAUGCAUGACGUACCAGACGAAAGUAACAAUUGUUGAUGGACGAGGUAGACCUAAAAUCACAUGAAAGAAAGUUGUCCCGAAAGAACUACUAAUCCUUUGAAUCAAUGCAGACUUAGCUAAAGAUAGGGCAUAAUUGAAGAAAAGGAUCCAUAUAUGUGAUACUUACUACCUAGGAAUAGGGUUUAAAUUUGUUAGAGAACUUUUAAUAUUAUUAUUAUUAUUAUUAUUAUUAUUAUUAUUAUUAUUAUUAUUAUUAUUAUUACUUUAUAUAUAUACUCCCUCCGUUAUUUCCUUUUUAGUCCGUGCCAAAAAGAAUAACAAAUUUCUCUAUUUGGAAACAAUUUACCUUUAUGCAAUGAUUUAUAGCCACACAAAAUUUAUGUGCCUCAUUUUACACCAACAACAACAACAACAACAACUACCCAGUAUACUCCCACCAGGUGGGGUCUGGGGAANNN